GAUGAACGCUGGCGGCGUGCCUAAUACAUGCAAGUCGAGCGAACAGACGAGGAGCUUGCUCCUCUGACGUUAGCGGCGGACGGGUGAGUAACACGUGGAUAACCUACCUAUAAGACUGGGAUAACUUCGGGAAACCGGAGCUAAUACCGGAUAAUAUAUUGAACCGCAUGGUUCAAUAGUGAAGGACGGUUUUGCUGUCACUUAUAGAUGGAUCCGCGCCGCAUUAGCUAGUUGGUAAGGUAACGGCUUACCAAGGCAACGAUGCGUAGCCGACCUGAGAGGGUGAUCGGCCACACGGGAACUGAGACACGGUCCAGACUCCUACGGGAGGCAGCAGUAGGGAAUCUUCCGCAAUGGGCGAAAGCCUGACGGAGCAACGCCGCGUGAGUGAUGAAGGUCUUCGGAUCGUAAAACUCUGUUAUUAGGGAAGAACAAAUGUGUAAGUAACUAUUCACGUCUUGACGGUACCUAAUCAGAAAGCCACGGCUAACUACGUG
rnacentral:rRNA from 1 species